GCAGCUGUGGCCUACUGGUUAGCGCUUCGGACUUGUAACCGGAGGGUUGCCGGUCGCCGGUUCGAACCCUGACCAGUAGGCA
rnacentral:tRNA from 1 species